AACGCACCUUGCGCUCUCUGGUAUUCCGGAGAGCAUGCCUGUUUGAGUGUCAUGAACUCUUCAACCCGCCGGUUCCUUGUUGAAUCGAGUCGGAGUUUGGAUUCUGAGCGUUUUGCAACUUUGUAAUGAAGUUGCUCGUUCGUAAUACAUUAGCAUCUCAAUUUCGAACUUCGGAUUGACUCAGCGUAAUAGACUAUUCGCUGAGGAGCAUUACUUUAUUGUGAUGGCCGAAUGUGUAGAUAAGAGUGGAAGCUACGAACCCUUCUAGUCAAUACCUUCAAUUAGACCUCAGAUCAGGCAGGAUUACCCGCUGAACUUAA
rnacentral:misc_RNA from 1 species